UUUCUUGAAAAAUUCAGAUGAUCCCGCCUACUUCCCCCAAUAUUCAUCUAUUCCCUCCAAAUGCCCCUCUUCCCCCAAUCUGCAUUUUCUCAUAACAUCUCGCACUCUCCAUCCAUUUCCUGAAGACGUGGAGUCAAGCUCCCCUUCUAUCCGCUCUCUUUCAUCUCCACGAUGAGGAGUUUUACGCGAGGAUUGAAGCUUUUAAAUUUGUUGAUUUCACUAAAUCCUACAACGUUCGUACUAACUAGGUUUUGAAAAUCUUACUGAAAUACUAGGGACGAAAUAAAGGGUGUCUUGUGUGCAAGAAGAAGAUGGCAACUUAUCUCCCAAAACACUUUCUGGAUCCUGUCCUGCCCCAUUUAGAAAUCUUUUGGAAUAUGUUGUUAAUUUGAAGUUUGAUAAGGAGCCUACUUAUGCAAAACUUUUGUUUGAUCAUCUGAAAGUAGUUAUUUUUCCUAAAUACAUGUCAAAUUGUGUGUUAAUUUGUUGGCCUAUUAUAUGGUAUUUGUAGGUUUAUGAAAGGAGCUCACAUCAUAGUAUUUUGGUUGUUUGUUUGAAGUUGUGAAAAUGAAGCUCUCUAACGGAAAGGAAGAGCAAAAAAGAAGCAUUUCUUCCAGCAGUUUGGGGUUCCCCGAGCAAACAACCCACAAAUUAUUUUUGUUAAAUAUUGACUGCAAGUUUUGCUAGCACUUACAGCGGAUCUUUAGUUCAUUGUCACACAGCUGCUGUGUAAGUAUCUCUUCCACUGGAUACUGUUUUGGAGCUUGAAUGUCAUGGUGCCAAGAGGAAAUUUACCAUACGUCAGGUUAGAGACGGUGGCUUCCGGUAUGGCGUGGCCCGGUUCGUGUCGCAAUACAAUUGGAAUUUGAUUUUCAUAGGGCCAUCUACAAUCUCAACACUUUUUUGGUUGGUUUAAUGAACUUUUUCUCUUCUACGAUUCCGGUUGCAAGUAUGGAUUGAAGACGUUGGUUUGGGUUGAAAGUAUGAAGACAUUUGUCGGUUCAGGAAGUUAUUGUAUAUCACUUUCAUCUUUAGAGUUAUAUGUAAUGUUGUGUUAUUGGAAAACUUUUGUAAUAUUGUAUUACUUUGAAACCUUUGUAUUUUGUAAUCUUGGGUCAUAUUAUAUUGGUUCUAAUUUAAUUUUGUUCUUUUUUGUAUGUUUUAUUUUAAUUUUUAGAGAAUUUGUUAAUUAUGGGAAUUUAUUAAUAAUACAUAUAUAUAUUAUUUUACUCUAAACACUAACAGAUGAUGCGGUU